GGUAGUAGCUCAGCAGUAGAGCGCUUGCCUUGCACGUAUGAGGCACUGGGUUUGAUUCUCAGCACCA
rnacentral:tRNA from 1 species